UACGAAGGGGGGCUAGCGUUGUUCGGAAUUACUGGGCGUAAAGCGCACGUAGGCGGACAUUUAAGUCAGGGGGUGAAAUCCCAGAGCUCAACUCUGGAACUGCCUUUUGAUACUGGGUGUCUUGAGUAUGGAAGAGGUGAGUGGAAUUCCGAGUGUAGAGGUGAAAUUCGUAGAUAUUCGGAGGAACACCAGUGGCGAAGGCGGCUCACUGGUCCAUUACUGACGCUGAGGUGCGAAAAGCGUGGGGAGCAAACAGG
rnacentral:rRNA from 1 species